GUCUAUGGGCAUAACACCCUGAAUCCACCUGAGCUCAUCUGAUCUCGGAAGCUAAGCAUGGUCAGGCCCAGUUAGUAGUACUUGGAUGGGAGACUACCUGGGAAUAUUGGGUGCUGUAGUUU
ensembl:rRNA 5S_rRNA 5S ribosomal RNA